UUGGAGAGAAAAUCCACAUCGGAAAUAUAAAUGGAACAUGAGUAAUAUAUAAGAUCUUGGACCACUACAUUAAUUGUCAACUGAUUUUAAGGUAGAAGUCCAGAAAACUUAUCAGAUAGCUGCGCUUUCGUGCUUUAAGAGAUUAAAGACGCUGAGAAUAUCGUCUUGCAUAACGAUGGAUCCUUGUCCUGGACCAGAGAGGUUAUUGGGUUCUUGUCCGGCUCUAGAGAGUUAACAAUUCAAAAGGAUUCAAAUAUGUUGUGUGUUGACUAGCCUUUUGGAACUGGUUUCAGCUACACCACGAAUAAAAGUGAUGUCCAUCAUGACGAAAACAGAGUCAGCGAUGAUCUAUAUGAUUUUCUGCAGGUCAUUGAGUUCUUCCACUAUUGUGUGCUGUUUCUAUUAGAAACUGCAACCUCAUAUUAAAAACCCGACAAGUGAGAUAAUGUGCAAGAUAACAAUGUAGUUGUUCUAGAGAUAGCAUGAAGCAAGGAACAUGUGCAUUCUCGGGAUAAAUUUCGAACGUUUGCUACAGUCUAGUGAUCAAGGAAUUUUUGGUUCAUUCCACUUUUUAUAAGUAUAUUUUCAUGUGUACACAAGUUUUAAGAUGAAUAUAUCCAUGUAGAUACACACAAGUUUUGAUAUUUUAGUUUUAUGUAUUUA